AUUGAACGCUGGCGGCAUGCUUUACACAUGCAAGUCGAACGGCAGCGCGUUCUUCGUCCUUGCUGCGAGUGGCGAACGGGUGAGUAAUACAUCGGAACGUGCCCCGUAGUGGGGGAUAGCUCGGCGAAAGCCGGGUUAAUACCGCAUACGACCUGAGGGUGAAAGCGGGGGAUCUUCGGACCUCUCGCUAUUUGAGCGGCCGAUGGCAGAUUAGCUAGUUGGUGGGGUAAAGGCCUACCAAGGCGACGAUCUGUAGCUGGUCUGAGAGGACGACCAGCCACACUGGGACUGAGACACGGCCCAGACUCCUACGGGAGGCAGCAGUGGGGAAUUUUGGACAAUGGGCGAAAGCCUGCUCCAGCAAUGCCGCGUGUGUGAUGAAGGCCUUCGGGUUGUAAAGCACUUUUGGCGGGAACGAAAAGGACUGUGCCAAUACCACGGUUCGAUGACGGUACCAGCAGAAUAAGCACCGGCUAACUACGUG
rnacentral:rRNA from 1 species